rnacentral:rRNA from 1 species
GGAAUAGGACGUGCGGUUCUAUUUUGUUGGUUUCUAGGACCGCCGUAAUGAUUAAUAGGGAUAGUCGGGGGCGUCAGUAUUCAGCUGUCAGAGGUGAAAUUCUUGGAUUUGCUGAAGACUAACUACUGCGAAAGCAUUCGCCAAGGAUGUUUUCAUUAAUCAGGGAACGAAAGUUAGGGGAUCGAAGACGAUCAGAUACCGUCGUAGUCUUAACCAUAAACUAUGCCGACUAGGGAUCGGGCGGCGUUUCUAUGAUGACCCGCUCGGCACCUUACGAGAAAUCAAAGUUUUUGGGUUCAGGGGGGAGUAAGGUCGCAAGGCUGGAACUUAAAGAAAUUGACGGAAGGGCACCACAAGGCGUGGAGCCUGCGGCUUAAUUUGACUCAACACGGGGAAACUCACCAGGUCCAGACAAAAUAAGGAUUGACAGAUUGAGAGCUCUUUCUUGAUCUUUUGGAUGGUGGUGCAUGGCCGUUCUUAGUUGGUGGAGUGAUUUGUCUGCUUAAUUGCGAUAACGAACGAGACCUCGGCCCUUAAAUAGCCCGGUCCGCGUCCGCGGGCCGCUGGCUUCUUAGGGGGACUAUCGGCUCAAGCCGAUGGAAG